CUACAUACUUAACAAGGAUCUUAAGGAUUAAAAUUGUUUGUUCCCACACAAGUUUCAUAAGGAUGAAGAGCCUCUGAUCAGUUUAGGCUCUAGUGGAAAGAAUACUACCAACAAGGAUAUAGAAAAGCAUGCACCUUUUUCAAUUAUGUUUAAAUGCUUAUCUCUUCCUUACCUCUCCAAAAUGUUUUAAAAAUUGUCUGGGUAUUGCAAUAGGCAUUGACUGCUGAACAUUAUUGAUUAGUUUUAAGAGAUCACUAUAUAGCAUAAUAUCAGUUACUUUAAAUAAAAAUAAAGCAUAUAAAUAUAUCCAGUCACACCAGAGUGCAAGGUUUAAUUCCAUUAACCACCACUGUGAGCAUAUUGUGACAAAAGUCUAUAUCACCACAUAGCUACAGGACUCGUUUUCAUCAGCACUGGGGACUGGAAGGAGAAGGGGAGAGAGUGUCUGGGAAUUAUAAUGCCUCAUCUGCUCAGGUCAUUCAGUGCCUUGCAAGUUUAAUCAGGCUGUCUUCAUCCUCCAUUACACUCAUUAUGUCCUGUUAGGUUAGUGCUCAAUGUUGAUCUGUAUCUUGGUCAAGACAAUUGUUGCUGAUUAACUGUAAUUACCAGUAAUGGUCCCAACCUGCUUUCAAGCAGACUGCUGCUGUCAUCUUGUCCAGGCCCUUGCUCUGUGAUGAGCAGUCCAAAUCUCCUAACUGUUUGCUCACUUGCUGUUUGAAUCAACAAGUUGCUUCUUGUGUGGGCUCAUCCCCCCACGCCUAUACCUGCCGUCUGUAAACAUCCCAACUCUGCUUGAGCUAUGCAAAAAUGUGUAGUUUUUGGAAGGAAAUGGAGACUGCUGGCCAGGAAAUCACAUCCCAGAAAGAUCACGUUCUUGUAACAAUUUAUCAUGGAAAAAGUCAUGUCUUUCGAUUGAGACGUAAAGCUGUGGUCUUGCAAGUUUGUGGUCAAUGAAGAUGCUUGGGGAUUUUUUGCUAUCUCUUGCAAGAAAAGCAUUAUUAGCCCCUGAA